rnacentral:rRNA from 2 species
CCCGGUGCUGGAAGGUUAAGAGGAACUGUUAACACCCCCCGCGGGGUGUGAAGCGGUGAAUUUAAGCCCCAGUAAACGGCGGUGGUAACUAUAACCAUCCUAAGGUAGCGAAAUUCCUUGUCGGGUAAGUUCCGACCUGCACGAAUGGCGUAACGACUUCUCCGCUGUCUCGACCGUGAACUCGGUGAAAUUGCAGUACGAGUAAAGAUGCUCGUUUCGCGCAGAAGGACGGAAAGACCCCGGGACCUUUACUAUAGCUUGGUAUUGGUGUUCGCUUGGGCUUGUGUAGGAUAGGUGGGAGACUGUGAAACCAUGGCGCCAGCCGUGGUGGAGUCGUCGUUGAAAUACCAUUCUGGUUCAAGCGGUCACCUUAACCUUGGCCCGUGAUCCGGGUUGGGGACAGUGCCUGGUGGGUAGUUUAACUGGGGCGGUUGCCUCCUAAAAAGUAACGGAGGCGCUCAAAGGUUCCCUCAGCCUGGUUGGUCAUCAGGUGGCGAGUGCAAGUGUACAAGGGAGCUUGACUGUGAGACCGACGGGUCGAGCAGGUGCGAAAGCAGGAACUAGUGAUCCGGCCAUGGCACGUGGGUGCGUGGUCGCUCAACGGAUAAAAGGUACCCCGGGGAUAACAGGCUGAUCUUGCCCAAGAGUCCAUAUCGACGGCAUGGUUUGGCACCUCGAUGUCGGCUCGUCGCAUCCUGGGGCUGGAGUUGGUCCCAAGGGUUGGGCUGUUCGCCCAUUAAAGCGGUACGCGAGCUGGGUUCAGAACGUCGUGAGACAGUUCGGUCCCUAUCCUCUGCGCGCGCAGGAAACUUGAUGGAGGGCCGUCCCUAGUACGAGAGGACCGGGAUGGACGAACCUCUGGUGUGCCAGUUGUACCGCCAGGUGCAUGGCUGGUUAGCUACGUUCGGAAGGGAUAACCGCUGAAAGCAUCUAAGCGGGAAGCCUGCUCUAAGAUGAGGUUUCCACGCCCCCCCUGGGGGGUGAGAGGCCCCCGCCAGACUAGCGGGUUGAUAGGCCAGAGGUGGAAGCACCGCGAGGUGCUCGCGAGCCGACUGGUACUAAUUACGGCCGACA